rnacentral:rRNA from 1 species
GAUGAACGCUGGCGGCGUGCCUAAUACAUGCAAGUCGAGCGAAUGGAUUAAGAGCUUGCUCUUAUGAAGUUAGCGGCGGACGGGUGAGUAACACGUGGGUAACCUGCCCAUAAGACUGGGAUAACUCCGGGAAACCGGGGCUAAUACCGGAUAACAUUUUGAACCGCAUGGUUCGAAAUUGAAAGGCGGCUUCGGCUGUCACUUCUGGAUGGACCCGCGUCGCAUUAGCUAGUUGGUGGGGUAACGGCUCACCAAGGCAACGAUGCGUAGCCGGCCUGGGAGGGUGAUCGGGCACACUGGGACUGAGACGCGGCCAAGACUCCUACGGGAGGCAGCAGUAGGGAAUCUUCCGCAAUGGGCGAAAGUCUGACGGAGCAACGCCGCGUGAGUGAUGAAGGCUUUCGGGUCGUAAAACUCUGUUGUUAGGGAAGAACAAGUGCUAGUUGAAUAAGCUGGCACCUUGACGGUACCUAACCAGAAAGCCACGGCUAACUACGUGCCAGCCGCCGCCGUAA